rnacentral:rRNA from 1 species
UACGAAGGGGCGAGCGUUGUUCGGAAUUACUGGGCGUAAAGGGCGCGCAGGCGGCUCUGAAAGUCAGAUGUGGAAAGCCCCCGGGCCUUAACCUGGGAACUGCAUUUGAUACUCUGGAGGCUUGGAGUGUGGGAGAGGAGAGGUGGAAUUCCCAGUGUAGAGGUGAAAUUCGUAGAUAUUGGGAAGAACACCCGGUGGCGAAGGCCGGCUCCUCUGGACCACAACUGGACGCUGAGGCGGCG